CCUACGUGUGGCAGCAGUAGGGAAUCUUCCACAAUGGGCGAAAGCCUGAUGGAGCAACGCCGCGUGGGUGAAGAAGGUCUUCGGAUCGUAAAACUCUGUUGUUAGGGAAGAAAGUGCGUGAGAGUAACUGUUCACGUUUUGACGGUACCUAACCAGAAAGCCACGGCUAACUACGUGCCAGCAGCCGCGGUAAUACGUAGGUGGCAAGCGUUAUCCGGAUUUAUUGGGCGUAAAGCGAACGCAGGCGGUUUUUUAAGUCUGAUGUGAAAGACUUCGGCUUAACCGGAGUAGUGCAUUGGAAACUGGAAGACUUGAGUGCAGAAGAGGAGAGUGGAACUCCAUGUGUAGCGGUGAAAUGCGUAGAUAUAUGGAAGAACACCAGUGGCGAAGGCGGCUCUCUGGUCUGUAACUGACGCUGAGGUUCGAAAGCGUGGGGAGCAAACAGGAUUAGAUACCCCUGUAGUC
rnacentral:rRNA from 1 species